UUAAACUGUGGUCCUUACAAGCUGCUACUCAAAUUGCUCUCAUUUAGGUUCCUGAUGUUCAUCUGUGAUCUGCAGGGAUUGCUCUGCUGCUCUGAAUUGCACCAGAGCAAUCCCAGCCAACUGAACAGACGCUCCUCUUCACUCCUCUGCUUUAUGGUGAUGAUGCCACUGAUGACUUGACUCAAGGCAACAUGAAAAGAUUGCUGGAUGUGGAACGAACUUUGUAGCAUGCUGCACCAUGAUUGUUGUUCACAUUUCAAAGCAACCUCAAGGAAAACUGUAAAUAAGAACUAAGGCAUAAAAAUACACUCGCACCUGGGAAUACUCAGCAUGCUGUACACCAGAGCUGCAUCCAAGCCCUGGCAAACAGCCAGCUGCUGGGGAGAAAUCUGGAAGGGCUUAAUAUGGACUGGAGAACUGAUCUACUUGGAAACAAACUACGUGGGUGUACUUAUCUCCUUGUCGCAUACUGUAGUCAUUUUGCUACUUUGAAUAAAAAAUAGGUCUUGUCAUCAUGUUAUAGGCCUCAACAUCGCACUUCUGGUGCAUAGAGCCCACACCUAGCGAGAACAAUCAUUUUCCUUUUGUUGGAAGCUUUUAAUGGGCAGCUGGAUGUGAACCUUCAGACCAAAGAAAGUGGUCUGAAUUCAUUUCAGAAAGAGGAGAUACUGUACUGGAAGCUGCGAGAAGUAAUAGGAUGAACAGUAUUAAGUCUGAGUCAUAAAAUAAAAAGUCAUCGAUGAGUCAUUUGUGGAAGUUGCCAUAGCUAUACAACAAAACACGAGGUUUCUGUUUAUAUACGGACAAAUGAGCUGUUUCC
rnacentral:lncRNA from 1 species